rnacentral:rRNA from 1 species
AGAGCGAACGCUGGCGGCAGGCCUAACACAUGCAAGUCGAGCGCCCCGCAAGGGAAGCGGCAGACGGGAGAGUAACACGUGGGAACGUACCCUUUGGUUCGGAACAACACAGGGAAACUUGUGCUAAUACCGGAUAAGCCCUUACGGGGAAAGAUUUAUUGCCAAAGGAUCGGCCCGCGUCUGAUUAGCUUGUUGGUGAGGUAACGGCUCACCAAGGCUACGAUCAGUAGCUGGUCUGAGAGGAUGAUCAGCCUCACUGGGACUGAGACACGGCCCAGACUCCUACGGGAGGCAGCAGUGGGGAAUAUUGGACAAUGGGCGCAAGCCUGAUCCAGCCAUGCCGCGUGGAUGAUGAAGGCCCUAGGGUUGUAAAGUCCUUUCGACGGGGAAGAUAAUGACGGUACCCGUAGAAGAAGCCCCGGCUAACUUCGUGCCAGCAGCCGC